CCUACGGGAGGCAGCAGUGAGGAAUAUUGGUCAAUGGGUGCAAGCCUGAACCAGCCAUCCCGCGUGAAGGACGACUGCCCUAUGGGUUGUAAACUUCUUUUGUAUAGGGAUAAACCUACCCUCGUGAGGGUAGCUGAAGGUACUAUACGAAUAAGCACCGGCUAACUCCGUGCCAGCAGCCGCGGUAAUACGGAGGGUGCAAGCGUUAUCCGGAUUUAUUGGGUUUAAAGGGUCCGUAGGCGGACUUAUAAGUCAGUGGAAAAAGCCUGUCGCUUAACGAUAGAACUGCCAUUGAUACUGUAAGUCUUGAGUAUAUUUGAGGUAAUUGGAAAAAAAAAUGUAGCGGUGAAAAACAUAAAAAUUAUUUAGAACACCAAGUGAGAAGGCAGGUCACCAAGAAAUAA
rnacentral:rRNA from 1 species